UACAGAGGGGGCAAGCGUUGUUCGGAAUUACUGGGCGUAAAGGGCGCGUAGGCGGCCUUCUAAGUCGAACGUGAAAUCCCUGGGCUCAACCCAGGAACUGCGUCCGAUACUGGAAGGCUUGAAUCCGGGAGAGGGAUGCGGAAUUCCAGGUGUAGCGGUGAAAUGCGUAGAUAUCUGGAGGAACACCGGUGGCGAAGGCGGGUCUCUGGGCCGAUACUGACGCUGAGGAGCGAAAGCGUGGGGAGCGAACAGG
rnacentral:rRNA from 1 species